rnacentral:rRNA from 1 species
AGAGUUUGAUCCUGGCUCAGGACGAACGCUGGCGGCGUGCUUAACACAUGCAAGUCGAGCGAUGAAGCUUCCUUCGGGAAGUGGAUUAGCGGCGGACGGGUGAGUAACACGUGGGUAACCUGCCUCAAAGUGGGGGAUAGCCUUCCGAAAGGAAGAUUAAUACCGCAUAAUAUAAGAGAAUCGCAUGAUUUUUUUAUCAAAGAUUUAUUGCUUUGAGAUGGACCCGCGGCGCAUUAGCUAGUUGGUAAGGUAACGGCUUACCAAGGCAACGAUGCGUAGCCGACCUGAGAGGGUGAUCGGCCACAUUGGAACUGAGACACGGUCCAGACUCCUACGGGAGGCAGCAGUGGGGAAUAUUGCGCAAUGGGGGAAACCCUGACGCAGCAACGCCGCGUGGGUGAUGAAGGUCUUCGGAUUGUAAAGCCCUGUUUUCUAGGACGAUAAUGACGGUACUAGAGGAGGAAGCCACGGCUAACUACGUGCCAGCAGCCGCGGUAAUACGUAGGUGGCGAGCGUUGUCCGGAUUUACUGGGCGUAAAGGGUGCGUAGGCGGAUGUUUAAGUGGGAUGUGAAAUCCCCGGGCUUAACCUGGGGGCUGCAUUCCAAACUGGAUAUCUAGAGUGCAGGAGAGGAAAGCGGAAUUCCUAGUGUAGCGGUGAAAUGCGUAGAGAUUAGGAAGAACACCAGUGGCGAAGGCGGCUUUCUGGACUGUAACUGACGCUGAGGCACGAAAGCGUGGGUAGCAAACAGGAUUAGAUACCCUGGUAGUCCACGCCGUAAACGAUGGAUACUAGGUGUAGGGGGUAUCAACUCCUCCUGUGCCGCAGUUAACACAAUAAGUAUCCCGCCUGGGGAGUACGGUCGCAAGAUUAAAACUCAAAGGAAUUGACGGGGGCCCGCACAAGCAGCGGAGCAUGUGGUUUAAUUCGAAGCAACGCGAAGAACCUUACCUGGACUUGACAUCCCUUGCAUAGCCUAGAGAUAGGUGAAGCCCUUCGGGGCAAGGAGACAGGUGGUGCAUGGUUGUCGUCAGCUCGUGUCGUGAGAUGUUAGGUUAAGUCCUGCAACGAGCGCAACCCUUGUUAUUAGUUGCUACCAUUAAGUUGAGCACUCUAAUGAGACUGCCUGGGUAACCAGGAGGAAGGUGGGGAUGACGUCAAAUCAUCAUGCCCCUUAUGUCCAGGGCUACACACGUGCUACAAUGGUAGGUACAAUAAGACGCAAGACCGUGAGGUGGAGCAAAACUUAUAAAACCUAUCUCAGUUCGGAUUGUAGGCUGCAACUCGCCUACAUGAAGCUGGAGUUGCUAGUAAUCGCGAAUCAGAAUGUCGCGGUGAAUACGUUCCCGGGCCUUGUACACACCGCCCGUCACACCAUGAGAGCUGGUAACACCCGAAGUCCGUGAGGUAACCGUAAGGAGCCAGCGGCCGAAGGUGGGAUUAGUGAUUGGGGUGAAGUCGUAACAAGGUAGCCGUAGGAGAACCUGCGGCUGGAUCACCUCCUUUCUAAGGAGAAUAGGAAGAAGAAAAUUCUUUCUAAAGGCUGAAUUCUCUGUUUAAUUUUGAGAGACCAUUCUCUCAAAAUGGAGUUAAACAUUAGUUUGUUUAGCUAAGUGAUUGUACCAAAUAAUAGAUUUGGAACAUCAACUUAUGUUCUUUGAAAAUUGCACAGUGAAUAAGUAAAGCUAAAGGUAUAAAAAUCCUUUGUAAGAAUACAAUUUUAAGGUCAAGCUACAAAGGGCGCAUGGUGAAUGCCUUGGCACUAGGAGCCGAAGAAGGACGCGAUAAGCUGCGAUAAGCCUUGGGUAGCCGCAAAUAGGCUGAGAUCCAGGGAUUUCCGAAUGAGGAAACUCACAUGGGUAACCCCAUGUAUCAUGCACUGAAUACAUAGGUGUAUGAGGGUAAACCCGGGGAACUGAAACAUCUAAGUACCCGGAGGA